CAGAACCAGACGAAAUUUAUCACCUGUAAAAGAAUUCAGAAUAAUGAAAAUUACUCUUUAAAGGAUAAAUUAGAAAAAAAUAUAAAAACAUUGAAAUCUUUUUAUCUUUGUUUAAAUGUCAAUACGAAAAAAUCUGCAAUGUCGGAACACGGAAAUUGAUAUCUAAUAAUAAAUCUCAAGGCAACUGCAUCAAAAAUAUACUAGGGGCGUUACAAACGUUUCGCCACGUUUCGAACGAAAUUCACGGUUGAUUGCAUCUAAACCAAUAGAAUUAUUGUAUCUUCAUUUUGCUAUUUUCAUCAACUAGAUACAUGUACAUAUGCGUGCAAUAAACAUACAAGAAACAAUUAACGUUUUUCUAUUUUAUUAUAAUAUCACAAUAUUGUACAUGACAGUACGUCAUACAAUAUGUCACAUUCAAAAAACACGAAAACUGCAAUAUAUCACGUCGAUUAUAUGCAUUAUGCCAUUAUAUGCAUUAUGCAUUAAGAAUGCAAAGAAUAAAGUAAUCCUAAGAAAUUAUAAAAUUGAGAUCUUCCAAUUACAUAAAAUAUUACGCUUAAUCAAAAAGCAAUUGAAAUGAAUAUAUAAAAUAUAUAUUGAAAAUAUAUAAAAAUAAGUUUGAUUCUGAAAACAAAUAUAUAUCAUAAUAUUAAAUUAUACUUAUAUUAAACAAAUUGUCAAAUAUUAACAUAAAAAUUAACAAAUUAACAUUAAAAAGAAUCCUAUAUAGAUCUAUUCAAUUAAAAGAUAAAACAUUAAGAAACCCUCACAUAAGAAGGGUUACCAUUCCUGGAGAACAAGGGUCAAGGUUAAAAGUCUAUGCUGUGUCGAUGAUACAUAUAGUAUGGUAAUCGAUAUUACCGGCGGUGGCAAUGUCGAGGGGAAUAUAAAGACGAAUGAAAACGAAGCUGGAAAAAUCUGCAUAACCAAUUGAUCAUGUUACGAGACGUAUAUGGGGUCAGGCUUACAUCACGAUAAUAGCAUAACGAUUAUAGAUUAUCUAGUUGAACGAUACAGGAUCAUAUUAUCAACCCCAGUCAUAUUAACCAAUACGAACCCGGCAAAGGAUAUGGGCUCGUGUGAUUUACAGCAUUAACCUUGACACUGACAGCAACGCGUAUCGUUAAUUUGCUCACAUUAGAGGGAUAUAUUAACACUUUAUAUUAAAUUUAGGCAUUCGUAGAAUGCAAGUUUUCGAAGUCUAAACUUAUUAACUACACUGUGUUAUAAAUAUUUGAUUCUAUUUAAAACAUCAAUACGAUAUAUAUAUAUACAUAUAAGAAAAAAUAUGGCACACAAAAUUAUGUUGCAAUACAUUAUGAAUAAAUGUUUAAGUAAAACUCUGUUUCAUGUAAAAAGAAUAAAAGCUAAUAAUAUUAUGUAACACAUUCAGAAACAUUAACCACCCCCAUGAAUUCAGCUUAACAUGUUCCGGGGUCUAUCGAAAACCGCCAUCUUGUCUCACGACGUCAACCACAGACAAGAGAAAGAGAGAACUUAACGAUAGUUUAUAUCCAUUCUUCACAUGAUGCGCAUCCGUAUUUGUCGCGUAGGACAUUCUACUUUUGUUCUAUAUUCCAAUAUUCACACAUUUACACUAUGAUUUGUCUCAAAAUGAUUUCAGAACAGUUACAGUCACAACUCAAGAUAUUUCUUGAAUAACUGCAUAUGACAUUUACAUUAACUUCGAUUUAUUUGCAAUAUUUCAUUUCUUUUUCGAUGCUUGUAUUCGACACAAUCAUAACACACAUUUUAACUUGGCGUAAUUCAACAUGUCCGUACGUCGUGUAAUGUAGGUUAGUCGCGCGACGCGAAACGAAACUGCGUGUACAUGUACAAAAUCAUGGCACGUAACGCGCAUCGGCGAAGAAACCGGUAGAAAAAGCGCGCGCGAUACGCGACAGGAAGGUAAAUGUGAAUACACGAUGAAACGACACAACGAUGAUGACCACGACGAUGGAUGAGCGAUACCAGCAAAUAAGCAUACGAUCAGAGAGAGAGCACGGACACACAUACACAGCUACUUCUCCCAGCGAACGAGUAUCGCGACCGACACGGCUACGAGUCGUGGACGUUUUGACCUUGGCAUUGAACUUAUGGGAGCUGCCGGGUGAGGUAGGAGAGAGGAGUGAAACACGAGCGAACGGGACGAAGAGAGGGGAGUAGAACGUGGUACGAGCAAAGCCGGGCGCAUGGGAGGGAGAUUGCGUCAUCUCGCGCAAGCCUGUGCGCCGCGCGUCAAUACAGCGGGACUGCCUGGCCCUAUGGACUAACCUUCGUUCCCCUUCCCAAACGCAAUUCUAUCUCACUCUGUUCUGCACAAUCGACAAGCUCCUUCCUGCAAAAUCCAUCCCGCCUCUUUGCUCCUCGCCAACGGAAGUAGAAUAAUAUUACGAAAAGAUAAGAGGAAGAGAUAAAAUAAAACUACGCGAUAUUAAAACUUGUGGGGGAAUAAAGACAGAAGAGAAUCUUCAAAGUAGCAAAAACAGGAUAUGAAUCUGUAAACAUAGUAAGCAGGCAGGGGUGGAUCGACGAUGCGGUGUACCCCACCUCUUUCUCCCACCCUUGCUAUCGGUGGGUGUGACGCACCCACUCCCUCUGCAGCGCCCGAAUCAACGAGAUACAUCCAGAACUGUUCGUGAGACGAGUCAAAAUGACGAUAUUUGAAGGGUGGGGGGUUGGGAGUUUGCUGCAGCGUGACGUGGCCUUGGGCGCAUUUAUGAAUCUAAUAUAUCACGAAUGCUAUUUUUUUCAUCUAUCUUAACUGACUUUUCUUAACUGAUGAUAAGUUUAUUCUAAUUUAAGAAUAAUUAAAAAAUUGUCUAAUAAUCUAAUUGUUAUAUACAUUUAUUCUUCUACACUUCAAUAAUCAAUAAAUAUUUUUUCUUUAUA